GGUGACAGAUCUGUGCCCUAGUGGCAGUGCUACAGGAGGCAGUUUGAGAUGAGUGGGAAGUCAUGGGACAAGUCAGUAGCCUGGAUGGCAGAAGUGGUUGGGAUCAAAGGGCACAUGGCCAGGCAGGGCUGAGGAGCAACCAGAAGUCAGAGUGAGCAGCAAGUUUUUAUAAGGAGGCAGGGGCAAAAGGCAGGCCAGAGGUCAGGAUUAACAAAAGGUCAAGGACAGCUGGCAAAUGAAGCCCUUUAUUCUCUUUCCUGUCCUGAAGGACCUUGGUGGGCAAAGUCAGUCUAGCGCAAAAGAAGUUGCCAUAUGCUGUCCAGUGGCUCACCACAUGGGACAUAUAUGCAUGGAUCCAGCAGCCCCUGGCAGUAACUCCAACAAUAGUGCCAUUGUGAUAUUUUCCAGUAUUCAGAGCAACUGUUCUGAGGCCCAUACCUCAAGCCUACCGAGAAAGUUGAGGUAAUUUUAUUCUUUUAACUUCUGUAUGUUUUAAAGUAUGGUCAUAAAACUUUUGUGAUGUUAUUGUUUUACCUUUUGUAAACCACUUUGAGCGUUGUUGUUUUUUUUACAACCAAGUGGUGUAUAAAUUGUGGCCUACCGUUUUCAUGGAGGGCAAGAAUCCAGGCCUGCCCUGAGGAAAACUGUAGACAUGUAUGUCAAGAUCCCAAAGAACAAAUAAUCUGACACCACCACUUAGGCUACCUUAAGGAUAUCUCUUAAGCAUAGGGUUGUACCCUUUGAAAAUGGCAUGUGGUGGACAACAGUCCUUACAUCACCAGUGCUGAAUGAAGAGAACAUCCAAGAGCUUAUUGCACCACAGUGGUUCAGUCACAGUCGCAUCAUUUUAAUUAUUAAAUGUAAAGCUGGAAAUCAGUUUGCUAAUACAGAUAUAUCUUGACAGAGGACGUAUCGAUCCAGUCAAUCAGAAGUGACAAAUGUAUCACCUGUGAUUUAGCAUUUUGUGCGAAAUUUACCUUUCUAUGUUGGAAUUUUGUUUAUAUGAGAAAUAACUCACAAGAAUACAGUGGUACCUCGGGUUAAGAACUUAAUAUGUUCUGGAGGUCCGUUCUUAACCUGAAACUGUUCUUAACCUGAGGUACCACUUUAGCUAAUGGGGCCUCCCGCUGCCGCCAUGCCAUCACAGUGCUAUUUCUGUUCUCAUCCUGAAGCAAAGUUCUUAACCUGAGGUAAUAUUUCUGGGUUAGCGGAGUCUGUAAGCUGAAGUGUCUGUAACCUGAGGCACCACUGUACUUCUUUAUCUCCCUCCUUCAAAUGCCUUCUCAAAACCAACCUUAUCUAGCAAAUAAGCCUGCAGCGUAACCCCCUUAGGCCCAAGCUAUUUGUGAUGGUGACAGGCCUGUGGCUGCCCCAUCCUCAUAUAAAACUGUGGUGUAGGGGUUAGCUUGUCGGACUAGGAACUGAAAGACCAGGGUUUGAAUCCCUGCUCAGCCAUGAAGCUCACUGGGUGUGUGACCUUGGGCCAGUUACUGUCUGUCAACGUAAUCUACCUCUCAGGGAUAUUAUGGGGAUUUAAAUGAGACGGGGAAGCACGUAUGCCACCUUGAGCUCCUUGGAGAAAAAAGUGGGAUAUAAAUGCAAUAGCUAAACUAACGGAAAUGUGUGUGUGUGUGUGUGUGUGUAGGUGCAAUUUAAAAGGAAAAAUGAGUAUGACAGCGAUUUGUGUUGAACUCAGGGACAGCCUUGCGAUGCAGUGAGAUGAAGCAGAGUGAUGAGGCGAUAGUUAACGGAAGGAAUGGAUGCCAGAAUGAUGCAGCAAGUGUUGGGCCUAGCCAGACAAGGCAGCAUUUGGGCUUUGCUUCAGACACCCAAAAUGUCUUAGGCUGGAACUGUGAAUUCUCUCACUUGUAACUCCCCUUUCCUUAUCACAAGUUUCCCCUUCCCCCCACACCCGCCAUCUUAUUUCUCCCUUCCAGGUUCACAUGGGAGGAGGAGGGGCACAUUUGCAGAAAGGAGGGGCUUAACCUCCUGGUGCUGCUUUGGCUCUCAAACUGUACAUUCCUAAGGCUGUUGAGGGGAGACUCCAAAGUGGUUUAACCAACCACCCAAAGCCCUUUCAGGGGCUUGCAAGUAGGGUGGAAGUGAGGGCGGAGGGGUGUUCGUGUGGUCCUCCACCUUUUGAACUUAUUAAAUAGUGGGUGGACACAGCAGGCAACACAGAGCUUUCUCCAAGUAGUUCUUUAUAAGUAAGCUGGAACUGAACUGAACAGCCAACAGCUCAGCCGGCCUGCUUUUAUAGGCAGCCAGCUGUCAACAUUGUAACAACAACCCAGGGUUUCCCGCCUAAAUUAACUGACUUAGACCUGAGUGAAAACUAUAUACAUGAUACCCCUGGUGGCCAGGGUGAUAACUUCAAUGCAUAACAGAACUUCUGUUUUGUUCAACUGUUACCCUCUUGACAUUGAUGGGAAAGAUUCCAGCCCCUGAGCUGGUCUAAAUUGCUCCUCAGUUUUUGGGGCAUGUCAGUAAACUGGGAUGGCUUUGGAACCUCUGGCUCAUCCUAGCUACUUCCACUUCUACCCUGGCUUGCUCCUGAACUGCUCCCAGACUGGGCAUGCCCCCCCCCUUUGGUCCUCAAUUGGGCCAGAGCAUUGGAAGUUUCUAGGGGAGUGGGAGUCCAGAAUCACAUCUCUGUCUCUGAGGCUGGAGCUUUGACUGGCUUUGAAAGUGAAUGUGUCAGGUUUGCAUCUUAAGAAGCCCUGCAUUUUGUUUGGUCUUCAGACCUCAUCCUCAGCUGAAAUGAAGCCUGAGUAACAUAUUUAUUCACAUCCAUUCCUGGAUUGUUGUCGUAGCUGCUGCUAUUGCUGAUUAGGGGUGGAGGGAUCUGUCAGUUUCAGUUCUCUUCUGUUGUUGUUUUAUCUUAAAUUUGAUUGUCAACGUUUCUGCAGCAAUCUGUGUUAUUAAAAAUUAUUAAGCACAGACCUGCUUCAGACAUGCGUCUCUCCCUAACCCUGCAACUGUGUAAACACUAUGCAUUCCCAUUCAUCUGCUGAAGCUCACUGGCUGCCUCUGAAACUGGAGGUUCAACUUAGCAAUCAAUGUCAUCUUUUACCUGCUCCUCUCAUGUGGUCAUGUGCAUUAGUUUAUCAUAUUAAAUAUUAGUUCUUUUGGUGUCAUAAUAAAAUAGAAUAGAGUAGAAUAGUGAAUUUAUUAUUUUUAUUAAUCGUUUGUUAUGCCUGUAAUGUGGACAUUGUUCAGUUUGGUUCUGCAUUUUUAAAUGUUUUAUUUAUUGUUUAUGACUACUUUUGUUAUGUUGUAGUUAUGUAUUUUUUCAUGUUGUGAGCCGCCUUGAGCAUGGUUUGAACUAUAGAAAGGGAGCAUACAAACUAAAAUUAUGUAUGUAUGUAUAUAUAAAACCCAUUUUAAACACAUGACUUCAUAGAAUCACAGAGCUGUGGAGUUGGAAGGGACCCCGAGGGUCAUCUAGCCCAGCCCCCUGCAAUUCAGGAAAAUCAACUAGAUACAGAACAGGGGGAAAUGCAGUAUUCACUAUAGCACACAAUUAAAAACUGCAUUCAAAACAACAACAACAUGGAAAAGUCAUUGCUUGGUUUGAUUCCUUGUUUAUUUGCAGGUGUGGGGUGUGUUACUUCACGACUUCCCCUUGCUCUGCGACAAGCUCCCUAUAUGGGGGAAUUUUAUCCACCCAGCCAACCAUUGUUCUGCAAUUCCAUUCCACCACCCCCUGAAACAAUUAACAACAACAACAACAACAACAACAACACACACACACACACACACACACACACACACACACUUCAAAGACAGGCAAGGUGAUUAAUUUUUGCUGAGCCAACUCUCCUUUGUAUUUAGGCUAUCCAAAAUUUCUCAUCAAUUAGUGCUUUCUUCCAUCAGGUAAAACAACAAAAUAGCUAGUGCUCAACUAUGAGUUGUAUCCAACCAAGGCUGUGUACACAGUAUAUGCUUAGAGCACAGUUGAAGCACAUUCUUUCCUCUCAAAGAAUUUUGGGCAAUGUGGUUUCUAAAGGGGCCCUGGGAAUUGUAACUCUCUGAGAGGUGAACAGCAGUGCCCAGGAUUCUUUGAGGGAAAGAAUGUGCUUUGGUUGUGCUUUAAAGGUUUAGCGUAUACACAGCCUGAGUCAUACUCAGAGCAGCAGACCCAUUCAAACCAAUAGGCUAGGCUACCUUGAUUCCAAUGGGACUACUUUAUGACUUAAUUGAAGAUAACCCUCUAUGUAGAAUGGAUUCUUUCUAUUUCCAGUGUAGUUAAUGGCAGUGCAACAACAGCGGCAGUAAUAAUAAUGAACUGAAAUGAAAAGUGGCCAGAUUGCUUGUUAUCAUCGCCCCAGACAUGUUCUUACAUGCAUCUGAAUGCUAAUAAUGUUUUGUCCAUUUAGGGGAUCGAAAGCCUUAACCUAUAGCACUAAAUAAAGUUUUUCUUCUUCUUUUUUUCUUUAAUAAUUUAAACAUACAGUUAGGAUCUUGCAAGAAUGCAAGCAAGGGUUAGGGUGUGUAGAAACAGGAUCAGUCCAUUUCCGAGGGGGCAGGCAUACAUUCUCCUCCUCACCAACUAGGCCUGGUUGGUCACUGCCCGCCCCCAUGUUGAACUAUUUCUCCAUACACAUCCCAGCAAUGUAAGAUCUGUCCCCUCUUUGCCCGCAGACUAGCGAGGCACCUCCUGGAGGUGACACUUGUCUGAGAGAAGCCUCUGUCAUCCUUCCCUUCCACCGCCACCCCCUUCCCAUCUCAUUGCUAUGGAUGGUGGAGGCGAUGAUUUGAUUAAGCUCUUCACCUGAUGGAGGCAGAGCAAGCCAGAUGCAGUGGGAGCUGCCAGAACUGGGCCACGGCAGGGGGAUAGUAUACAAACACAUUUCCCAGGCCCAUCUGUGCCAUCCUUCUGUCCAUUUUGCUUCCCAUUAUACCCUACAGUUCAGAACCCCACUUGGAACUGGGAAUCUCUCCAGCCUCUCUCUCUCUCUCUCUGUGUAUAUAUAUAUAUAUAUAUAUAUCUCUGCUCCUUCUCCUUCAAGGUGAUCUGACUCGAUUAGUGCAAUGUUGGCAGGGAAGGCCGGGCGUGUGUGCGAGCUUUCUGGGCCUCCUCUUCGCUCUCUCUUUUCUGCCUUAAUUGGAACCCUCUGAGACCAGGCGAAAUCGCAUUAGCACCAGGCCCCGGCGUGCAAAGCCAUCCAUCUUUUUUUAUUACAGCGUAAUGGGGCUGCUCGCGAGGCG